CAGUCGCCGCGGUAAUACAGAGGAUGCAAGCGUUAUCCGGAAUGAUUGGGCGUAAAGGGCGCGUAGGCGGCGGCCAAAGUCAGGCGUGAAAUUCCCGGGCUCAACCUGGGGGCUGCGUUUGAUACUUGGUUGCUUGAGUGGGGAAGAGGGUCGUGGAAUUCCCAGUGUAGAGGUGAAAUUCGUAGAUAUUGGGAAGAACACCGGUGGCGAAGGCGGCGACCUGGUCCUUGACUGACGCUGAGGCGCGAAAGCGUGGGGAGCAAACAGGAUUAGAUACCCGCGUAGUCCCUGUCUCUUAUAC
rnacentral:rRNA from 1 species